rnacentral:rRNA from 1 species
ACUCCUACGGGAGGCAGCAGUGGGGAAUAUUGCACAAUGGGCGCAAGCCUGAUGCAGCCAUGCCGCGUGUGUGAAGAAGGCCUUCGGGUUGUAAAGCACUUUCAGUCGUGAGGAAGGUAGUGUAGUUAAUAGCUGCAUUAUUUGUACGUUAGCGACAGAAGAAGCACCGGCUAACUCCGUGCCAGCAGCCGCGGUAAUACGGAGGGUGCGAGCGUUAAUCGGAAUUACGUGGGCGUAAAGCGCAUGCAGGUGGUUUGUUAAGUCAGAUGUGAAAGCCCGGGGCUCAACCUCGGAAUUGCAUUUGAAACUGGCAGACUAGAGUACUGUAGAGGGGGUUAGAAUUUCAGGUGUAGCGGUGAAAUGCGUAGAGAUCUGAAGGUAAUACCGGUGGCGAAGGCGGCCCCUGGACAGAUACUGACACUCAGAUGCGAAAGCGUGGGAGCAAACAGGAUUAGAUACCCCGUGGUAGGAUUAGCG